UUGUAGGUUCCAAAUGAUGAGGGCCUGAGCAGUUUGUAUAGCUGAUAGUGCAAUGAUUGUAUAUGUAAAGCUAACAUGUGCAAGUUAACCAGUGGAAGCCUUCAUACUGUAUUUCAUUAUCACUUGGAAUCCUUUGCAUUGAAGAGGUUGUGUUAGGAUGGCUGCUGUUUGAUCAUUCCCAUCAGAACUGACAGAAGAGCCUGAAAGAGAAGAAGCGGAAGCAGCAGCAGAAGCAGCUGGGUGAGGAGGAAACUGGAUGUCAUGGAGAAAUCUGAAGCUCCAUGAUUAUCACAGAGAAGAUUCUCCCUACCCAACUUUUCAGUGUAAACUACUAUUGCUAUGGUGUAGACGUUGCUGAGUCACCACACCAAGUUGAGAUGCUUCAGGCUAAGAUUGAGGAGGAAUAUUAUCACACCAUAGGGGCUAGCUGCUCUGCAGCUGCCGCCGCCACUGGAACUUCGGGAGGCAGUCCUGAGGAUGCGAGAGAAGGUACAAUAUUCUGGAAAAGAAAGGGAAUGUUGAAUGUGAUAUUUUCCCAAUUCACGCCUAUAAAUUAAGAAAGCAGAAGCUACAUGAAAUGUUUUAGCCAAUCUACAUAAAAUUUAUCUGACCCUUUUUCAGAAUUGGAUCUCCUUGACUGGAAAUUUAUACUGCUGUUUCUGGAUGUUAUAUCUAGAUCAGCAAUUUGGUUCCUUCAAUUAUUGAGCAUCUAUUUUGCA